rnacentral:rRNA from 1 species
GAUGAACGCUGGCGGCGUGCCUAACACAUGCAAGUCGAGCGAUUUACUUCGGUAAAGAGCGGCGGACGGGUGAGUAACGCGUGGGUAACCUGCCCUGUACACACGGAUAACAUACCGAAAGGUAUGCUAAUACGAGAUAAUAUACUUUUAUCUCAUGGUAGAAGUAUCAAAGCUCUGGCGGUACAGGAUGGACCCGCGUCUGAUUAGCUAGUUGGUAAGGUAACGGCUUACCAAGGCGACGAUCAGUAGCCGACCUGAGAGGGUGAUCGGCCACAUUGGACCUGGGACACGGUCCAAACUCCUACGGGAGGCAGCAGUGGGGAAUAUUGCACAAUGGGCGAAAGCCUGAUGCAGCAACGCCGCGUGAGCGAUGAAGGCCUUCGGGUCGUAAAGCUCUGUCCUCAAGGAAGAUAAUGACGGUACUUGAGGAUGAAGCCCCGGCUAACUACGUGCCAGCCGCCGCCGUAA